rnacentral:lncRNA from 1 species
UCACUGUGAUUUCCCUCCAGUGCCAGGUGACCGUGCUGACGGAGCCUUCACCCCUGCCCCAGCAGCCUCCCACCUCCGGCAGUGAACAAAUUGGGUUUUUGAAGACCAUCAACUGCUCCUGCCCAGCCGGAGAAAAGGGUGAAAAGGGCUCUGAUGGCCCCGUGGGACUCCCCGGCCCAAAGGGAGACAUGGGAGCCACUGGGCUGGUUGGAGCUCCUGGACCCAAGGGAGAAAAAGGUGACAUGGGCAGAGGGCCUUUUGUCCAAGGAGAGAAGGGUGAAAAGGGUUCCCUGGGCCUGCCCGGUCUCCCUGGAAGAGACGGCAGCAAAGGCAUGCGGGUACGUCUGCUCCC